GAAGAUAUAGCUCAGUUGGUAGAGUGUUUGCCUUGCGAGCACAAGACCCUGGGUUAAAUCCCCAGCACCACCA
rfam:Ictidomys tridecemlineatus contig055244, whole genome shotgun sequence.